ensembl:lncRNA
UUUAUAAGCUCACAGUCACCUGUAAAACACCUAGGACUCAAAGAUAAACUCACGGCCGUGGUGGAACCAGCACAGGAGACUCCCCCACCAGUCGCUGCGCAUGAAGCACCAGUGGUUGAACCUGAACCUGUGGAAGAAGUGAUUCAAGCAACAAAAGCAGAGCAGGAUGCUGCUGCUCCUCAAUCUGAGCCUGAUGUUGAGGAGGAAUCUGAGCCUGAAGCUGUUGAUGAAGAGGCUGAACCCAAGGAGGUUGAAGAGUCUGACCCUGAUGUAGAAGAUGUUGAAGCCAUUGAACCUGAAGAUGAAGAAGUUGAGGAGGAGCCUGAGCCUGAAAUUAUUGAACCAGCGUUUGAGGAGGAACAUGAAACUCAAUCAGAAAAUGAGUCUGUUAAUGAUGCUGUGGAAGAAACACAUGAGGAACUUAAUAAAGAGGACCCAGCAGUUUUAGAGGCUUUUGAGGAGGAAGCUGAGCCUGCGGAGGAGGAGGCUGCUCCUGUAGAAGAGGCUGUUGAGGAGGUCGUUGAGGAUGCUGCUCCUGUGGAGGAGGCCGUUGAGGAAGAGGCGGCUGCUCCUGUAGAAGAGGCCGUUGAGGAGGAGGAAGAGGCGGCUGCUCCUGUGGAAGAGGCCGUUGAGGAGGAGGAAGAGGAGGCUGCUCCUGUGGAAGAGGCCGCUGAGGAGGAGGAAGAGGAGGCUGCUCCUGUGGAAGAGGCCGUUGAGGAGGAGGAAGAGGAGGCUGCUCCUGUUGAAGAAGCCAUUGAGGAGGAGGAGGAAGAGGAGGCUGCUCCUGUUGAAGAAGCCAUUGAGGAGGAGGAGGAAGAGGAGGCUGCUCCUGUUGAAGAAGCCAUUGAGGAGGAAGAGGAGGCUGCUCCUGUUGAAGAGGCCGUUGAGGAGGAGGAGGAAGAGGAGGCUGCUCCUGUGGAGGAAGCCACUGAAGAAGACCUGUUCACAAAUGACACUCCCCCACUUGAGAGAGGUGAAGCAGCAGAUGAGGAGCAAACAGCAGUUAAAGAGGCUCUUGAGGAACCAUCUGAGGUGGAGUCUGUGCACACUGACUAUGCUGAAAGUGAAGAGCCAUUAGUAGAGGAUGCAGAAGAAGAUGAGCAAGAAGCAGCAGUCUUAACAGAAGAGAUUGAGCCUGAGGAACAUUUCCAAGAUGAGCCUACAGAAACGUAAAAUUUGAUGUCCGUUCAGAAGCCACGAGGCUAGAAUGAUUUCCUCUGAGCGACUGCAUUUCCCACCCAGGAGUGUACAGAGGAGGAAGAAACUGUUGUUCUGUCUUUUCUUUUGUGUGUGUGUCAUGUUAUCUAAAUGAGUGGCUCACAACUCUGUUCUGUCAGUCCUUAAACUGGUUCCCAGCAGAUCGCUGCUCCACAGAUGUUCAUCAUGCGGCCCCGAAUGUUAAGAGCUAGAGCGGAACGAGCACAUGGACUGGUUUGGGUUCCUCAGGGCUGGGUUCUGGACCACUUGUACAGAUACUUGUGGGUGGGAGAUGGGGGGUUGGUCUUGGUUUUUUAUGUAGUAACGUGGUUCCUUUUGGUUUUUAUUUCCUGUGUUCCGUUUCUGUUCUCAGACAUUUCUGUGCUGGAAAGGCUCACAAUUUUCAACUCUUUAGAACAUGUGAAGUAUCAAUGUUGAUCUGUGGUGGGGAACGAAUUUUGCUUGUUAGUAUGUACAUGAUGGUACUAUGCAAAGCUGCACUGAUCUUCAGCAGUGACCUGAGGUGCUGUACAGCGUAUCACGUUCAUGCAGGCAGGCAGGUUUCAUUACAUUUUAUUUCCAGCCUGUGUACAUUUUACAUACAAGAGUGUCAUCAUGGAACAACCGAAUAUUCCUUUCCAGCCGCAAUUUAAUUUUAUUCUGAUUGCUGCCUGCUAGUUUCUCCUUCAAGCAUCUUCAGUACUGUAGGGUUUGUAUUACAGUAGAUCAGCAAGAGUAAGGAAUUCAGUUGUAAUGUCUUAUUGUUGAAAGGGAUAUGUUGCUUCGUCUCAGGGUUAUCCAAACCCAUGCUUUGUGUGCGUCAUUGUUGGGUUUUGCUUCUCAGUAAUUUUUUUUUCUUUGUUAAAUUCUUUAUUAUGCCACUAUUCUGAUAAAUGAUGGUUGAGCCUCUUCCUCCUGUACCUCAUAGAUCAUGAGGCUCAAAAGUCUGUGUGUGUGUGUGUGUGAGUGUGAGAUGACCAGUACUUUUCUUUUUCCAAAGGGAAAUUUUAUGUGCCCGCAUCAGUGAAGGGGAGGGGUCUAAAUUUUGGUUGUCCCUUGAAGUUCAUACAACUAGAUGGAAAAAAAUGUGUGAACAUUUUUUUUUUUUUUUUUUUUAUAUAUAUAUAUAAAAAUUUGCUUCUUAACGUGAAGCAUGUCACAUUUACUCUUAUGUGCGUGGUACAUGUGCACCCCUAGAACUAAAGUGUGAAUUUAUUUUACCACAGUUACAUCUUAAAGGACAUUUGCUGUUCUAUUGGUCAAAUUUGCUUUUAUUUGUACCCUUGUCUGUGUAAAGCAAAUGUGGGCUGUGGGCCUGCCUUUUUUUAUUAGUUCUGACUGUUUGAACACCCUUAUCCACUACUUUAUAGCAUUCAAAUGCAUGUGUUCAUUUACCUACCCCUUUUUCCCAUAGUGUUGUGCAGAAGCCUACUAAAAUAAUGCCAUUGUGAUCAAUUUUAGGAAAUGCUGUAAUUCUUUCAGAGGUCUGUGGUGUUCAGCAAGCUGUUUCAUUUUUAUGAAUUUUUUUCCCUUUCUUUCUUUCUUUCUUUCUUUCUUUCUUUCUAUAACACUUAGAUUUUUUUUCUGCUUAAAUUUUUUGAAGUCAAUGUGAAUUUUUAACAUGGUAUUACAUUUACAAAAUUCUAACUUUAAGAGGUUUAACUUUUUUUAGACCUUUUUUAGAAAGUGGUUUCCAUUUUCUUAAGCCAUAGGUAAGACGUGAGUGUUUACGGUGCACCAUAUUUCAAGAGAGAGACAUUGCACACCUGAAAAUAGACUUUUCAUUGCAGUUCACAUUUGAACAGGAUUUUUACACCAUUAGCUCCCGCCUUACAAGAGGUUUACAGACUCUACAUUGUACCGGACAAUAAGUUAUUAUGAAAUAACAUCAACAACACUAUUGUAAAUGUUCUGCUGAAGUGCUGUAAUAAAGGUUUGGGAAUAUAAUGUUUUGUCUCAUUAUUUUUGGUGAAUAUUUCAUAUUUUUAGUUGUUAAUGUAAACCUAUGGUCUAUACAUACUCAGUUUAGUUGCGCUAAACUGUUGGUAGCUAGGUUUGUGUUUUAAUAAUUCACUUGCUAUUUAUGCUGUUUAUUUUAUUGAAGAGAAGACUAAAUACGGUCAGUAGACUAAGCAUGAAAUUUAAUAAACAAGAUUGCAAACAUAUAACAUCUAAAAAGGAUGUUCAGCAGGCAGUAUAUCAGUGUGCCCCCAUAUGAUUUAAACAAGGAAAAUCCGAAAUGAAAAUUCUUUAUUAUACUUGGUACUUAAGUCCAUAAUGUUGUAAUUUACGUCUCAUGUUUAUUUUCAAAUAUGCGUAUACAUAAAAGUAACUUCUGCACUAACAACUUUUUGGGGGUGGACAUUGGGUUCAUUGUGUAACGGUGGCCAAUUAUUUAUUUAUUCAUGCAUUCAUUCGUUCAGCACCAUAACCUCAGGUCUUUUCUUCAGUCUUUAUCAUUCAAUGUAAUUAGUCCUUUUUUUGGUAUUACAGUCCUUGUGAUGCUAUCUGACCACCAGAACAGCCUCAUUCUGAACCUCAGCAGACGUCAGAAUGUGCAUGUAGGCCUUUGCCUGGAGAGAAAAAAUUUCCAUAUGUUUGUUCAUUAACAGCGCCAUGCCUCUGGUGGUGGUUCUUUUUCUUAAAGAUGAUCAUUUAUUGCCUCUGUGAUAUUUUCUUUUUCCAUUAAGGUGAUUUGCUCACUUUACUUCCCUGCAGCUAAAUAAACAACUGAAUGAAGGUUUUGUACUGGUG